UCUAAAGAUCGUUUAUUUGUUUUUAACGGUUUCGUGGAUCUCUGAGUUUUGUUAAGGCAGCUGUUUGCAUAAUUUAUAGAGAAGGGCUUGGCAACCUGUUUUUGUGGAAAAACUGAUAAGAAGGGCGAAAAAGUCAAGAAAUGCCUAGGUAGCAUUAAUAUAUAGUUUGUGGGUUCUCUUCGCUCUUUCUUUCGCAGGUGCGUGAGUGGAGCGGAGUGGCUCUCUAAUUGGUUGUGAGUGAAUCAGACGAUGUGAUCGCGUGAUUUUCUAGACGCCCAGUGCAGCUCAAACUGUUAGCUGUUACUGGAAAUUUAGCAAUAUUAUGUUUAAGACGCUGUCACGCUGACACAGAAACCGAAAAAAAAAGAAACAGUCGAAAACAUAGCAAAAUGCUUAACGCAAAGACGCG